UACGUAGGGUGCAAGCGUUGUCCGGAGUUAUUGGGCGUAAAGAGCUCGUAGGCGGUUUGUCGCGUCGAAUGUGAAAACCCGGGGCUCAACCCCGGGCCUGCAUUCGAUACGGGCAGACUAGAGUUCGGUAGGGGAGUCUGGAAUUCCUGGUGUAGCGGUGAAAUGCGCAGAUAUCAGGAGGAACACCGGUGGCGAAGGCGGCUACCUGGACAGAAACUGACGCUGAGGCACGAAAGCUAGGGGAGCAAACAGG
rnacentral:rRNA from 1 species